rnacentral:rRNA from 1 species
CCAAUAGCGUAUAUUAAAGUUGUUGCAGUUAAAAAGCUCGUAGUUGAAUUUCGGGAUCAAUAUGCCGGUCGUGCCUCGGUAUGCACUGGUAUUUUUGAUUUCUCCCUUCUGAAGAACUUUGAUGUCAUUAAUUUGGUGUCUUAGGGAAUCAGGACUGUUACUUUGAAAAAAUUAGAGUGUUUAAAGCAAGCUCACGCUUGAAUACAUUAGCAUGGAAUAA